GCUUGCUCUUCUUGGAUGAGUUGCGAACGGGUGAGUAACGCGUAGGUAACCUGCCUGGUAGCGGGGGAUAACUAUUGGAAACGAUAGCUAAUACCGCAUAAAAUGGAUUAUCGCAUGAUAAUCCAUUGAAAGGUGCAAAUGCAUCACUACCAGAUGGACCUGCGUUGUAUUAGCUAGUUGGUGGGGUAACGGCUCACCAAGGCGACGAUACAUAGCCGACCUGAGAGGGUGAUCGGCCACACUGGGACUGAGACACGGCCCAGACUCCUACGGGAGGCAGCAGUAGGGAAUCUUCGGCAAUGGACGGAAGUCUGACCGAGCAACGCCGCGUGAGUGAAGAAGGUUUUCGGAUCGUAAAGCUCUGUUGUAAGAGAAGAACGAGUGUGAGAGUGGAAAGUUCACACUGUGACGGUAUCUUACCAGAAAGGGACGGCUAACUACGUGCCAGCAGCCGCGGUAAUACGUAGGUCCCGAGCGUUGUCCGGAUUUAUUGGGCGUAAAGCGAGCGCAGGCGGUUAGAUAAGUCUGAAGUUAAAGGCUGUGGCUUAACCAUAGUACGCUUUGGAAACUGUUUAACUUGAGUGCAAGAGGGGAGAGUGGAAUUCCAUGUGUAGCGGUGAAAUGCGUAGAUAUAUGGAGGAACACCGGUGGCGAAAGCGGC
rnacentral:rRNA from 1 species